UACAGAGGUGGCAAGCGUUGUUCGGAAUUACUGGGCGUAAAGGGCGCGUAGGCGGUUCGGUAAGUCCUGUGUGAAAUCCCUCGGCUCAACUGAGGAACUGCACGGGAGACUGCCGGGCUUGAGUUCGGGAGAGGGAAGCGGAAUUCCGGGUGUAGCGGUGGAAUGCGCAGAUAUCAGGAGGAACACCAAUAGCGAAGGCAGCUCGCUGGGACGGUACUGACGCUAAGGCGCGAAAGCGUGGGGAGCAAACAGG
rnacentral:rRNA from 1 species